AUAGUAGCGAUAAAAUUUAGGAUGACGCGAGAAACGUGAUUUACGUAAAAUAACUGUAAUUUCAAAAUAAAAAGUAUUUAUUUUGGGCAUACAAAUCUUAUGGAAAUAAUUUUAUAUAGACUUGCGAUAAGAAGGGAUCAAGAUUCUCCAAAAUUUCAUAAAACUCUAUUCCUCGAAUAACAGAUAUGAUACAAAUGCAUGAAAUCAAAUUACAAAAUCUUGUUCAACCACUAAUACGAACAGAAAACAAUCAUUACAGUUUCAUCAUGCUGCGAUCAUUUUUAGGUACAUGCUGCUAUUUCUCUAUAAUCUACUAGCGUUUGCACAAAAAUCCAAGCAAAUUGACGUUCUAACGUGAAGCUUAACGGAUGAAGUUUCAUUUAUAAAAAUCUUCCGAUAGACGAUUUUGAUGUUCAACGACGCACAUAUACGUACAUACAAGCAUCGCAGAUUACAUCACGAAACUAGUUUAACGUUCAAAAGAACCGUUGAGAUAUAGGUGUUUAAUAUUGCGUCAGAUGUUGAAGAGAUCGUAAACGUGUGAACAGAGCUUAAAGGAUCAAGAUAAAGCUGAAUAAGAUGUCGCGUUCUUUAAACAUUUUUACGCUGUUGAACAUUUUAACAAAUACAUUUUAAAGCUUUGCAAUUUCCACUCCGAUCUGUUCAAGUUUAUUAAAAAUUGACAGGGCUACGAGAUAAGAUCGAAAAAUAAUAUAUCUAGUCAAACAAGUCAAACGGAGUCCCAAUUUCCAAGAAUAUUGCGUGAGUCCGCGCGGAUUUAUCGCGAGACGCGCGAGUGCUGGCCUACACUGCGCUACUAAUUCGAUGUUCAAACGCAUCAUUCAAAAAACGCAUUCGGUAGCGCAUAAGAUAGUGCGGGGAGUGUGAACGGGGCCUAAACGGUGGAGCAAACGCGUCGCGUCGGGCGGGCGGACAGGCGGGCAGACAGGCAGACAGACAGAAGCUGGAGCACCUGUCUGUCCCUCCACUCUUCGGUACGGUAAAGAGGGGCCCGGCACUGGAUACACACCUCGUGCCGUGGUUCAGUACUCAGUACCUCGUGCACGUUCACGCUGAUAAGACCUUAUUCUAAUCACACGUCACCUGGCAUCGAUAUAGUCGUGCGCGGACUUUUUACGCGAUUUCUCACGCUCCAUCUGACGCAAUUCCUUCGGUCCUUCGGUCCUUCGGUCCUUCGGUCCUUCGAUCAACGACGUAUUCGCACGCAUUUUGUCCUCACUGGUCUCGUCUCUCUUUCACUCUCUUCUUCCUUCACUUUCUUCCUUCCUCUUUGCCUCGUCCGUUUCGCGUGUAUGAAACUGACGCAGCUGGUGGCACCUUGAUGCAGCGGAUCGCGCGACCCGAUCCAGGAAUUUUCCCGGAUCUUUGGAUCGGUCGAUCGAACACGUCAGCUCGCCCCUAACUCUCUCUUUGCUGCAUCGAACGCAUACGUAAUUACCUUCGCUCGCGCGAUUAUAUCCGCGCGAUCCCUCGAUAGUCACGUACGAUUUGUUCGUAUCACGCUGGAUACGUGCUCGCUGCUCAGCCACGGGAUGUACCGGAGCAACUUGGCCACAUCCCGUGCUCCGAUAUACGAUUCGAUGCCGGCAAAGAUACCGCGAAAGAAUCGUGAUUCGUCGAUUUCCGUACCGACUUGCUUCUCGUGUUGGCAACUUGGAACCGCGGCAACUGGCUUCCGCGGCGAUGGAUCGGCAAUCGAUUCCGUUCCUUGUAUCGUUUAGUCCGCUUCCGACGUUCGGCUACUAACGUUGCUGGCGCUCGGUCGCGCGCGUAUGCUACCAAUCGGCCACGUGUUUUCUCCUACUCGUGCCACAAACAACGUUCGAUCGUGGAUAAAACGUAGAGUGUGUUUCUAACGAUUCGCUUCUUGCCAUUGCGUGUAAAUGUGACGCUGUUAGACGUCACUGAGGAAGGCUGUUGCACUGGAUCCGUCGAAGGUCGAAUAUCGACACCGGACGCGGACAGGAGAAAUUAGGUGAACCGCUCGAGACAGACUUUUUGUUUUUCUCGCCGUGCUCGCGUAGAGAUCGUGUAAGUUCACGUGUACGGAGAAAAAGAACUUGGUCCGCAGUCUACAACAAGAAUUCCGAUGUUACGUAACGGCGGAAUAGAAUGAACGAGCGUUCAACGGGUGACGCUGUUUUUGUGAACUCGAUAAACACCACGUGUCGGAUCGUUGACAUUGAGGAACAGAUUUUGUGUGAUGUUUAUGAUUAAGUUCGACCAGAGAGUACGAGUUCCUCGAAUAGGAAAGGCCAGAGAAUCGUUUAGUGAAAGCGAGAGCGGCGCUAAGUGUUUGUGAAAUCGUGAAACUGCGACACCACGUGUGUGACAUCUAUUACUUGACUUAUGAUAGGUGGAUCGUAAAAUUUACCGUUUCCUUUCUGCUAUGGCCAGAGAACGGCAAGAUUUCUCGACACGCUAGCGCGGUUUUCAUAGAAAAUCUUGUGAUAUUGGCCGAUAUAGGCAGGGCAUUACGUUUCCUCUUCGAUGCAAUUUGUUGGAUUAAUGGCAAGUCAUACGUUCUAUAUGAAAUUGACAUCGGCAGGGAAUGUUAACACGGUGUAAGAAGAAGAGGAAGAAGAAGCAGGCAUUCAGGAAAAUUUAUUUCAAUGCGGAACACACGAACCAGUACUGCUUGUACGCACGGCUGACCUCGAUAGGGCUUUCGCUCGCGUUUAAGGAAGAAUGAAAAGGAAACGAAGGAGCCGAAGGAAACGAGAACUGGUGCGUGCCGUAGCUGAUCCUGCAGCAGUCGCGCGUUUGCGAAGCGCGGCGUGAAAAAAGCCGAGAAAGAAGGAGGAGACCGAGUUUCCGUUAGCAAGACGAGGAGGGAAAUUAAGAUCGGAUCGAAGGGAAAGAGACGGGACAAGGGUGAAAGAGACGACGGAAGAAAGCGCGGUGGAAGGCAGAAGAAGGCGAAGGAAGACUGUGUAAAAUAUAAGGUAAGAGAAGCAAAUAGGCCGGAACGGGACGAGAGAGAAACGAUCGGAGCAGGAUCGGGAACCGAGCGCAGCGACAAGGAAGACGAGGUGGAGGAAUCGUGACACGGGCGCGUGUGCAACAGGCGAUUUCUGAGCGAUUUAUCUUGCCAGGUUUGCAGGUGUUCGCGUGCGUCCUUCGUGGCCUUGUUAACGGGCUUCCUCUUUCUCUAGCCCGCCCCGGAUAGGCUUUUAUCGUUCCUCUACCGGCGACCUUCCUAAAGACACACCGUGCCGUGAAAUAAUAGCACGGUUCAAAAUAGACGGAAAUCAGAGGUCAGAUUCGAGAAGCAGGAAAAGAAGAGGAAUAGAGAGCGAAAGAGCGAUGUUGCUAAUCGCAAGAGGCGAGUGACGUCUCCGUGGAGUUCCAGGGAAUCGGAGGAAAGCGCGGUGACGUACGAACCGGUGCGGAAGACGAAGGAUCGGAGAAAGAACGAGGGAAGAAAGGGGGAGGAGGAGGAGGAGGAGGAGGAGGAGGAGGAAGAAGAGGAGGAGGAGGAGGAGGAGGAAGAGGAAGAAGAAGAAGAAGAAGAAGAAGAAGAAGAAGGAGAAGUUGGAGCAUAGGAGGUAUUACGAAAAAAGGCGAGGACAAGAAAGAAGGAAUACAAGGAGAGACAGAAAGAGAUAGGGGAGUAAAUGCAGUGAAAGAAGGAAAGAAAGGUGAGGAAGACGGCGAAAAGAAAGAGCGCAGGUAGACAGGUAGAACGUAAAAGGGAGAUAGGAGCGAAGUAAGAGAAGGAAUAAGAGGCGGUAUAAGGGAGGAGGAGGAGGAGGAGGGGAGUAGCGCGAAAGAAGAGAGGGAGAAGAAGAGGCGCGUGGUGGUCGUGAUGGUGAGGUAGUGGACGAGAGCGAGCGAGCAUCCAGAUCUGUCGCGUGCUGCGUCGCUCUGGGAUGGGACGGAAUCGGGACGACACGGUACGAAGCGGAACGGGACGAAACGGGACGACGGCUACUACUACAACUACGAGGACGGGAUGGGAUGGAUGCUGCGGGCCCGUGUGAGUAGCGAGUCGAGUCGAUCCCCGCGCGCUGGUAUUGGUUUCACUCUCGGCUGCUGCCGGCCCGUGUGCUGGUGUGUCGAUCUCUCUACGAGAGCGAACCGAGGAGCGUGCCCGAACCGAGCCGGAGAAGAGAACCGCGCCACUCGUUCAGUAGUUUCUCGGACGCCGCACCGCCACCAUCCGACCUGCCAGAUAACCCCGUCGACUUUACCGGACUACCCCCGACCUCCUAAUAAUAACGACACGAACCACGACAUCGCGCGACAAACAUUCGAUCGUUCGGUUUGACGAAUCGCCAACCAUCCGAAUCGAACAGAGCGACGAUUCAUCCGUUUCCAUUCGUCGCCAAAUUUUUCAACUAACUUUGGUGUUUACCGUGAUCGUCGUCAUCAUCGUCGUAGUCAUCAUCGUCGUCGUCGUCGUCGUCGUCGUCGUCGUCGUCGUCAUCGUUGUCGUCGUUGUCGUCGUCGUUUGCCGCAUCUCGCUUCUCCCGGUGUGAGUCGUGAAUCGUAAGACAGAAAAAUCGGCGAGCAGCGCACGCGGUGGUGGAAAAUCGUGGUGGAUCCUUGGAACGACGAUCGGUCACGAGGGAUUCGAAAGUUAUCGCGACUCAUGGUCGCGCGGCAACUCUCCACUGGCGGAUCCACUUUGGCUUUUUCGUUUUCGUCGUUUUAAGUUCGCGUAAAGUAACCGGUGUGGCGUGGUCCAGUGUCACGCGCACGGAGGUCGUUAGCUGUUUUCCUUUUACCCUCGCGUCGUUUUUUGCGCACAUCGCGUUCCGUUCGAUUGUUUGUCAGCAAACCGGGAAGUAGAAGAAUCGCGGUGUGAUAGCGGGUCUUGCCAGGUGUUUCCUCGCGGUGCGUGUUACGAACGUGCGUGCUCGUGGCGAACAACGCGACACGUAUCGGUCGUGCUGUUACUCGUGUGUAGUGUGCACGAGCCAACUUUCGCGAACGUAAUUAUACGUUGCACCGAUUCUUCGGAGUGGUGAGAAACAGAAGAAGAAACAGAAGAAGAAGCAGAAGAAGAAGCAGAAGAAGGAGGAGGAGGAGGAGGAGGAGGAGGAGGAGGAGGAGCAGGAGCAGGAG